rnacentral:lncRNA from 1 species
ACAUUUGAGGAUUUUUUUGUUAUUCAUUUAACGAAUAUUUUCUUGGUGUUUUGCAACUAAUAUCAACAAAAAAGGUUAACAAAUUAUUAGUACUAUGUAAGAACAUUGAUAUAUGACUUUUAGAAAAUGUAUAUAAUGUACGUUCGCAACGAAACAUUUGUAGAACUUAGUAUAUAUUCCGGUAGAAAACAUAUAUAAUAUAUUGGCAUUUAAAGUAUAAUCAUAUAUAUCCGAACCUUCAAUGGUAUACCUUAACAUGAGAGAUUUUUUUUAUUUUGGUUUCAUAACUUUCGGAUAUCUUACUACAAACUG